GGGAUUGUGGCUCAGUGGUAGAGCACUUGCCUAGCAUGUGUGAAGCACUGGGUUCGAUCCUCAGCACCA
rnacentral:tRNA from 1 species